rnacentral:rRNA from 1 species
CUACGGGAGGCAGCAGUCGAGAAUCUUCCGCAAUGGACGAAAGUCUGACGGAGCGACGCCGCGUGCGGGAUGAAGGCCUUCGGGUUGUAAACCGCUGUCGAAGGGGAGCAAAUUUGAGCGAUCCUUGGAGGAAGCACAGGCUAAAUUCGUGCCAGCAGCCGCGGUAAUACGAAUUGUGCAAACGUUAUUCGGAAUCACUGGGCUUAAAGGGUGCGUAGGCGGCCAUGAAGGUCUGAUGUGAAAUCCCACGGCUCAACCGUGGAAUUGCGUUGGAAACCACAUGGCUCGAGUAGGACAGAGGUGGGCGGAACUGAUGGUGGAGCGGUGAAAUGCGUUGAUAUCAUCAGGAACACCGGUGGCGAAAGCGGCCCACUGGGUCCUAACUGACGCUGAGGCACGAAAGCCAGGGGAGCAAACGGGAUUAGAUACCCCAGUAGUCC